rnacentral:lncRNA from 1 species
UAAAACAGCAAAAUAUCACCAUCAACACAUCACACACUGCCAAACUGCAAUCUUGUUGCACUAAGAAAAAGCUCUCACAUGACAGCCGUGGUUAACAAGACAGGAAGUCAGCAUUUUCAUGUGGGAGAAGAUAUGAAAUUAUAAAAAAAAUGGAGGAGUGUACAACAGCGUCACACUGCUGAAGGAAACAAAAGGAGGAGAACUCAGACAAGUGAAAGAGAAUGAGUGAAAUUUGAUAGAGAUAAGCAGAUGUGAAAAACAUUUGAAACUAAUCAAAUCAGAAUGCCUUACUUUAUCCUCAAGACUUGGAUAAAGUCAGUCUAAAUCAAAAUUCAUAGUACGGAAAAAGAAUACAUGGCAUUUCAGAAUUGCUUUUGAAAAUUCUACUUUGAAGGUGCUGUUGCUACAAGUGCAUUGAAGUGCACAUAACCCGUGAGUAUAAAGAUAAAGGACAUUUAAAGGUGAGAGAAGAGAAGUCUGACUGAAGAUUUGUAGCGAUGGCGAACAGCUGGACAUUGAUGGUGGUCGUCCUCCUAAGUAUCUUUAUGGCAAGAAGUCAGACAAGAGGAGAUCAAGACACUGGAUCACAUCAGAAUCCAGCUUCUGCGGUUAAAAAACUGACAGUUGUCCAAGAGCAGACCUUUAUUUCAGGCAGCGAUGUGACUUUACAAUGUGACAACCUCACUGUUGUCAAAUGGAAUGAAUUAAUUUAUAUCAUCUGGAACAUCAGCCAGCAAGACAGAACAUGUUGGCUUGGUUUGUCACCCAAGCUGGACGACACAUGCAAUGAUGGAAAGAAGCUGAACAACACCUCAGAUGGAGUUUCCCUAUUCAUUCCCAAGAUUUCAAUAGAAGAUGAAGGAUUUUAUUUUUGUGAUGUAUCAUAUAAAGGAGGAAGCUCUGCACUAAAUGUGACUGUAAGCGUUAUCAACGUUUCCACCAAGCGGUACAGAGAAAACAAUCAAAGGAUUGCUGUCUGUGAAUCCACAUAUACAAUGAAAGCACCCACUCUUCAUUGGGAACCUGCCUUGCACUUUCCCUCCAACAUCAGUUCUGUCAAGAAGCGUGGCAAGUUUUUUAUGCUGGAGAAUCAAGUAUAUCUGCCAGAAAAUGUCAACAUCAGUGAGCUCACCUGUGUGGCCACAUACACCUCUGAGUCCGGCUCUGUGCAGCACAAGAGCACACUUUAUCUUACAGGUUCACAAAACUCAAAUCCCUCAUCUCCAUGGAAAAAUAUUGCCAUAUCAGUUGGCUCUGUUUGUUUUGUUCUUGUAGCGCUGCUUGCGGUUUACAAACUACGCAGAAAGUUUUAUGACAUAAGUGCGUUGAAGAUGCUUUGCUGCAAAUCCAAAAUCUCAACACCAGUUGAAGACAAACCACCCCAUCCCGCUGAUGUUGAAGAGGUGGAACCCUAUGCAAGUUACGUACAGAGAGUCAAUUCCAUCUACAACUCCUCAGCUGAACUCUUCAACGCCUGAGAGACACUCACUUUUCAUGAUGAAACAGGAUACCAGAAGAGAACUGAGGGCAAAGAUAUGUCUGUGUCAAAAUUACACAUGAAAAACAAUACUAGUGGAAAAUAGUCAUCUCAAGAGAGCAUCCCCGAAGCAAACAGCGCCUGACUGAGGAGCAAAAGUCACACUGACUCAAAAGAUGAAAGGUGAUGACAAAGGAACAUUUGUCUUAGUAUGUAAUGAGGAAUAACUGGGACAUCUUCAGCAUCAGCGAUAUCACUAAUAUGUAGAUUUGUAGAGAAUGAACCUGGUUAGAUAUUAAUCAUUUGAACAAAUCAAAUUUGUACAUAUUUAUAUCAGAGUGAAUCAAAAUCAACUGCAAACAAUGUUUUUAUUGAUAAAUACUAAGCAGACCUGAUGUAGAGAAUCUAUUUUACAUUGCAC